UAGGGAAUCUUCCACAAUGGACGCAAGUCUGAUGGAGCAACGCCGCGUGAGUGUAGAAGGUUUUCGGAUCGUAAAGCUCUGUUGUUGGUGAAGAAGGAUAGAGGCAGUAACUGGUCUUUAUUUGACGGUAAUCAACCAGAAAGUCACGGCUAACUACGUGCCAGCAGCCGCGGUAAUACGUAGGUGGCAAGCGUUGUCCGGAUUUAUUGGGCGUAAAGCGAGCGCAGGCGGAAUGAUAAGUCUGAUGUGAAAGCCCACGGCUCAACCGUGGAACUGCAUCGGAAACUGUCAUUCUUGAGUGCAGAAGAGGAGAGUGGAAUUCCAUGUGUAGCGGUGGAAUGCGUAGAUAUAUGGAAGAACACCAGUGGCGAAGGCGGCUCUCUGGUCUGCAACUGACGCUGAGGCUCGAAAGCAUGGGUAGCGAACAGG
rnacentral:rRNA from 1 species